rnacentral:rRNA from 1 species
AGGACGAACGCUGGCGGCGUGCUUAACACAUGCAAGUCGAGCGGUAAGGCCCUUUCGGGGGUACACGAGCGGCGAACGGGUGAGUAACACGU